UUACUACUCCCUUAGUCCAACAAAGAUGACUCAAGUUUGUUAAAAUUUGGAUGUAUCUAGACAUGACUUAGUAUAUAUAGAUGCAUUCAAAUUUAGUCAAAGUUGAGACAUUCUUUGUUGGACGGAGGGAGUUUUUU
rfam:Brachypodium distachyon strain Bd21 chromosome 3, whole genome shotgun sequence.